GACGUAGGAUGCAAGCGUUGUCCGGAUUUAUUGGGCGUAAAGAGUUCGUAGGCGGUUUGUUAAGUCUGAUGUUAAAGACUGGGGCUCAACCCUGGGAGUGCAUUGGAUACUGGCAGACUGGAGUGCAGUAGAGGCGAGUGGAAUUCCCAGUGUAGCGGUGAAAUGCGUAGAUAUUGGGAAGAACACCGGUGGCGCAGGCGACUCGCUGGGCUGUAACUGACGCUGAGGAACGAAAGCCAGGGGAGCAAAUGGG
rnacentral:rRNA from 1 species